AAAGUGUGAACAAAAGUUUUGGGAUUUUGAGUUGUAAAAGUCUUGAAAAAGUGAUAAGUGUCCUCCUCCUUCUUUAGGUUUGUGGUCAUUCUAAAAGAGGUGUGAGGCUUGUAAAGGUUAUCUCCUAAACUUGCGAAAAGGAGAAAGAGUUAUAAUAUGAUAGUUGGUCUUUGUCUAUUGAAGGAAGACCAUUAGUGAUCGGCGGUGGCCUCGAC
rnacentral:lncRNA from 1 species